AUUGAACGCUGGCGGCAGGCCUAACACAUGCAAGUCGAGCGGAUGAAGGGUGCUUGCUCCUGGAUUCAGCGGCGGACGGGUGAGUAAUGCCUAGGAAUCUGCCUGGUAGUGGGGGAUAACGUCCGGAAACGGGCGCUAAUACCGCAUACGUCCUGAGGGUACAAGAGGGGGAUCUUCGGACCUCACGCUAUCUGUUGAGCCUAGGUCGGAUUAGCUAGUUGGUGGGGUAAAGGCCUACCAAGGCGACGAUCCGUAACUGGUCUGAGAGGAUGAUCAGUCACACUGGAACUGAGACACGGUCCAGACUCCUACGGGAGGCAGCAGUGGGGAAUAUUGGACAAUGGGCGAAAGCCUGAUCCAGCCAUGCCGCGUGUGUGAAGAAGGUCUUCGGAUUGUAAAGCACUUUAAGUUGGGAGGAAGGGCAGUAAGUUAAUACCUUGCUGUUUUGACGUUACCAACAGAAUAAGCACCGGCUAACUUCGUG
rnacentral:rRNA from 1 species